rnacentral:rRNA from 1 species
UACGUAGGUGGCAAGCGUUGUCCGGAUUUACUGGGCGUAAAGAGCGCGCAGGCGGCCAAGUCAGUCGAAUGUGAAAGCCCCCGGCUUAACUGGGGAGGGUCAUUCGAUACUGCUCGGCUCGAAGACAGGAGAGGGAAGCGGAAUUCCCGGUGUAGUGGUGAAAUGCGUAGAUAUCGGGAGGAACACCAGUGGCGAAGGCGGCUUUCUGGUCUGCUCUUGACGCUGAGGCGCGAAAGCUAGGGUAGCAAACGGG